rnacentral:lncRNA from 1 species
UAGCUGGAGGAAGUAUAGUCAUCCAUAAUUAAAAGAAAGUUUUACUACCUUCUUUUGUAGAAAUAUUAACGAUGAUCUUUUUGAUGAUGAAUUUGGGAUGUAUUUGAGCAUAUUUAAGUUGGGGUUUCUCUUCAAAUUUUUCUCUAUUCUCCACAGUAAUAUUAGCGCAUCAUUGUUUUUACUUUGUUUUGGAUUAUAAGCUGCAUCAUUGGUAAGUGAGAUCAAGGGUGGAGAGGGAGCAUCUCGGUUUUGCCUAUAGUAACUUAUCUUUAAAUGUUAACUCAGUUUAUCCUUAAUACAUGAUGCUCAGUUCAGUUGUGAGUAUAAUAUGGGCAAAUUAUCUUAAGAAUCAUUAAAUCCAAUAACUAAAUUAAUGUGAUUACAUGGAUUGCCUCCACCUCUUGUUAAAGAAGCACAAGAAUUGAAAAGAUUAACUAGCCAUUGUAAGUGUUCUGGAACAUUUGUCUUUGACUAAGGUUUUUAGUUUGAAACCUGCAUGGCGGAGGAUUUUAACCAUCACUGACAUUCAGAAAAGGGAACAAAACCAUGGAACAAUGAGACUAAACGAAAACGCUGUCAAAUCCACUCGUUGCCUUUUACUAAAACACUUUGGGUUACGCAAUUAUGGAGGUUGGCUUGCUGCUAAAGUCCCAACUUGUGAUUGGUCACAGGUCUCUUGAUAGUUGACUUCCUUCCCUUGUGGGCUAUUUUGAAUUAACCAUAAAAUUUGCUCGUGACAACGAGCUUAUUGGAGAGAACUUCUGAUCUCCUAAAACCAAACUUUUAAGUUUAAUCUUUGCGCCUUUUGUUCACGCCCAUGUUCUUUAAAUAUCAUGGCAGUGGACAGAACCAACUAUAAACUAGUAAACUAGAAAACUGAAAAUAACAACCUAUAAGGAAGCUAGAAAUAACUGCCAAUUAUGUAGAAAAACUACACUACAGCCACAAACUGAUUUAGCUACUUAAUCCAAGCUUUCAGCUGCUGCUGCUAAGUUUUCAUUACCAUGGGUAUAAUGCCUAUAAACAUAUCCAAACAAGAUAAUUUUAAUACUCCUUGAACCAGUGUCCUCAGUUUGCUGUGUUGAUUCCAGGUUCUUAACACUUCCUCUGUUCUCCGUCAUGAGAAUUUCUUUGGUAGUUGCUCCAAGUUUGUUGGCAUGGAAGGUUAUACACUACUAUUUUCGCAAGAAUUCAGUAGUUUCAAUCCCUCUUUUUUGAAGGGAUUUAAUAGGAGAGCCUUUAGGCGCGGAUCUUUCUCUAUGCUUAAAGACAUCUUGAUUAGUACCUUUUACUUCAGUGUGCAGUACUAUAGAUAGGCAAACUGCUCUUGACUUCUUAAUCAUGUAACUUAAUAUUGACUUUAUUUUUGUUAUUGGGGUAUGCUUCCUCUUGGACCCAUCAAUGCUAUUUACCACAAUCUUUUGUGUUUCAAACAUGUGUGCUGCACCUAGACUAAGUUAUUGGUUAAUCUUUGAGUAGCGCUGUUACACCAUCAGGGAUGAUUUUUGUACAAUGAUCUAGGUCUUAGAUUCCUUGUGGAGUGAUGGAAAAUUGCCCUGCGCAUAAAGGCAGCAUUGACCUUUCCUUGGAAAGUCUUAAUGGGAUUGCACAUGUAGCUCUAUUACAGAUAAGCUGAAAGAUCUAUGUCCACCUUGUUGUCGGGCAAUCCUUUAGGGGGAUUGCCGCUAAAAAUUCUCUCAUGUCUUAACACCACUUCUGUUUCUAAUUUUCAAUAUACUGAAGGAGAAUUGAUUAUGAUAAUAAAAUAUCCAAUGAUUCCAUCUCAGAAAAAGUGUAAAUACCAAUUUGAUCCUUUAAGUGGACUGAUGUGGUUCUCUCUUUCUGGUAGAGAAAGCAUUAAUUGUGCUCCUCUCUAUUGACUUCCUCCUUAUUUUACAUGUUUGAAUUUCCAUGGUUAUACAAAGGAAAAUUAGCUUUUGGAGUCAAUUUCUAAUUUUAUCAUUUCAUUGAAUAUUCAUGCUUUGUUCAACUAUGGAAUAUUCAGUCCCUUGUUUAAUUUAUUUUCUCCAAUUGUUCAGGAGGAAAAAGUUGACAGACCAUUGGAGGAGAUUUAUACGUCCUCUUAUGUGGCGAUGCAAGUGGAUAGAAUUGCAAAUUAAAGAAUUUCAGUCCCAGGCGCUUAAGUAUGACAGAGAACUUGCAGAACAUGAACAGAGAAAGCAGUUUGAUUAUGGUACGUUUUUAAUAGAAGGAAUUGAUGCAAAGUCAACACCAUUUUCAAGUUGUACUAAAAGGAACAAAGUCAUGAAAAGAAAGAAAAGAAAAAGAAUUGAGGAGGCAACUGACAUAUCAUCAUAUAUGCUACAACAUAACCUCUUUUCCUAUUAUGGUAAGCAUUCCGAUUUGCCUAUUACCUGUAGCAUUUGCAUCCCGAUGACAAGCAUUUUCCUAGGAGAGUAAUGUCUUUUCAUAUUCCCUUUUCUUAUUCUUUUCCCCUUUUCUUUCUUGACCAGAAACUAGGAAGUCUUCUGCCAAUGGUGCUUCUAUGAAUGACAAUUGCAGCAAUAAUCCAGGUAAGGAGUUAAAAUUUGUUUUGACUUCGUUUUUUAACUGAAAUUUUUAAAUGAUAAAACUGAGUAAUCUAGAAAUGCCUUAUAUACUGUGUUUAGCAUCUGUUCAUGGAUUUGAUGCUUCCAUAUGCUAGUCUUUGAUACAUUUCCUUUUGAGCCUCAACUUGAUUGAAGUAGUUAGUCUAAUAAAGGACUAGAGACAAUCACACGUUAGCAAAUGUGUGCAUGUAUUCUAACAUGUUUCUAUAUGAUGACAACAACAUAUAGCUCUGUGUGAUAGAGAGCGCACUUCUGAUUACUUGAUUGUGAGACGACGUGCAUCAAAAUUUACCUUGUUUUCUUGAUGUUGAUUGUAGAAUUUAUUGUUUUGUCUUCCCUUUUAAACAACUUCUUCCAGUUUCUCUUUCAAGUUUCUACAUAUUUGUACUUCUGAUGUUUUUUGUUUCCUGCAAUGGUAAAGUAUACCUCAUUAUUAUUCAAAUCGAGACUAAGUAGAAGAUUAUAAGCAAAAUUGAUAUUAUGCUGUCAGAAUUUAGAGUUGGGUUUAUUGGCAUAAAGAUCUUAAAUAUUAUUCCAAAAAAGAUGGUGCCAUGAAAAAUAGAAUUGAUAUAAUGAUUGGUCAAGUGCUUACAUUCAUCUUGAACUUUCUUAUUUCAAUCUUGUGGGACCUCAAGUUUGAUAAAGAUCUAUUAUACACUUGAACUUAUGAAUUUUGGACUUUGCACACCUUCCUGCACAAAUAAUAACAUCUUUUAGAGUUUUUGGCUUUUAUGUGCAAAACAUGAUUUGAUGUAUGAUGAGCACUACUUCUGAACAAUAAUUUUUUCAUUUUUCAACGAUCUAAUAAGUAUUUAACUAAUCUAAUUUUCUAAGUUGACGUGUUCAAUAAAAUGAUGUUGCGAACUAAAGUGUUUAACAAAUGUAAUUUCAUAAGUUGAAGUAUUCGAUGGUUCCAAGAAAAAAUUGAGAGUUCUAUAAGGUUAAAACAAUAAAGUGCAGAGGUAAAUUUAUGUAUUCAGCCUAUAAUGAAUGGAUGUUAUCUAGAUCAGAAACUGCAUGCUGCACACACAUCGGGAAACUUUUUUUUUUUUUUUUAAAUUAUAUAUUCUCUAUUGACUAUUAUUGCUAAAAUUCAGUUUAUCAUGUGCCUAACUUUUCUUAUCUGGGUCUUUUUCAGAUAAGGCAAUCAAUGUUAAUGAUGAGUUUGGCUUUCAAGAUGGAUGGGCAUCUCUUGAGACCAAAGGAAUUGAUAAUAUCUGUGAAAAUAUUCUUUUGAAAAUUGAAGCAUUACAAUUGCUAGUUCGCAAGUUGAAGGUCCGGAUUGAGAAGGUGGUGAGUGAAAAUCCUGGGAAGUUUGCUUCUGUUAAUAGGCUGAUCAUGCCUGUAUCUUGUGAUGCAUUGACCAGUUCUGAUCAAAAUCCUGCUUCCCCUCUUGAAAAUGAUGAUAGAAUGCCUGUUAGAUCUCUAUACACCAUCUCACAGUUUCUCCCUGAAAGUGCUGUUUCAAGUCACGGAGAGGUCACCACUCAUCCUGAUAUGAUUGAAAGCACAGAUCAGCCUGUGGUUGGGGUUUCAUGUGAAGAUGUAAGUUUCAUCUCUCUCUCUCUCUAUCCCCAACCCCCCCCCCCCCCCUUUCAAAAAAAAAAAAAAAAAAAAACCAAUCCAUUCUGCCGUCCUUUCGUGCUAGAUAAACAGUGUUGUUAAGUGUAUACUGGGCAAUGCUUCUUUCAUUCCCUGGCAUAUUUUUGGUGUAUACAGCACUUACAACGGGAGGUGCUGAAGGCUUAAAAUACUCGCCUUUACUUGUCUAUUUCUGUUAAGGAUUAGUUGUAAAUAGAGUUCUAUUAGGAGUUAGAUUCCUAAUUAGUUUAUGAUUUGUAUUCCUAAAUAGCUAGCGUAGGAAUUCCUUAUAUAUAGACCUAUGUAAUCGAUUGAUGAGAUACAAGAAAUACAAUUACAAUAUAUUCUCUCAACAUGGUAUUAGAGCCUUCCAUUAAAAAAAAAAAAAAAAAAAUCCCCAAAACCCCCUUAUNNNNNNNNNNNNNNNNNNNNNNNNNNNNNNNNNNNNNNNNNNNNNNNNNNNNNNNNNNNNNNNNNNNNNNNNNNNNNNNNNNNNNNNNNNNNNNNNNNNNNNNNNNNNNNNNNNNNNNNNNNNNNNNNNNNNNNNNNNNNNNNNNNNNNNNNNNNNNNNNNNNNNNNNNNNNNNNNNNNNNNNNNNNNNNNNNNNNNNNNNNNNNNNNNNNNNNNNNNNNNNNNNNNNNNNNNNNNNNNNNNNNNNNNNNNNNNNNNNNNNNNNNNNNNNNNNNNNNNNNNNNNNNNNNNNNNNNNNNNNNNNNNNNNNNNNNNNNNNNNNNNNNNNNNNNNNNNNNNNNNNNNNNNNNNNNNNNNNNNNNNNNNNNNNNNNNNNNNNNNNNNNNNNNNNNNNNNNNNNNNNNNNNNNNNNNNNNNNNNNNNNNNNNNNNNNNNNNNNNNNNNNNNNNNNNNNNNNNNNNNNNNNNNNNNNNNNNNNNNNNNNNNNNNNNNNNNNNNNNNNNNNNNNNNNNNNNNNNNNNNNNNNNNNNNNNNNNNNNNNNNNNNNNNNNNNNNNNNNNNNNNNNNNNNNNNNNNNNNNNNNNNNNNNNNNNNNNNNNNNNNNNNNNNNNNNNNNNNNNNNNNNNNNNNNNNNNNNNNNNNNNNNNNNNNNNNNNNNNNNNNNNNNNNNNNNNNNUUGUCCUAAUUCUGCUGCUACUAUUUGGUUUGGGAUUCUAUAUUGCUAUAAUGAAGUGGGUACAGUUGCUGAGUAUGGUAUUGUGCUUUGCUGAAAGUAAUAGUUUGUAACAAGUUGAGCAUGAUUAUCAUCUAUGCUCCAACUUGAGGGGGAGUGUUAAGGAUUAGUUGUAAAUAGAGUUCUAUUAGGAGUUAGAUUCCUAAUUAGUUUAUGAUUUGUAUUCCUAAAUAGCUAGGUAACAUAGGAAUUCCUUAUAUAUAGACCUAUGUAAUCGAUUGAUGAGAUACAAGAAAUACAAUUACAAUAUAUUCUCUCAACAAGUUCAUUUGUUAUCAUUUGUCUCAGUCUGAUCAUGGUUCUAAAUGCUUCUUGAUAACAUCUCUUAGCCAGCUACAUGGAUUCUCUUCAAGUCAGUACAAUGUACCUUUUCGUUGUCUCACUAUUUGUACUGCUUUAUACUGGCAGCUUUGGCAAAAAUUUUCAACUCCAUGUAUUGUUGGGCUUGCUUUAUGUAAUGCAAAUAAAGGGUUGAUGGAGAGGUCUUGCUUGGGUAAGAAUAAUUGAAUGUGAGAGCUCUAAGACGUCCCAGGUUUGAUAUAUGAGAGAGUAAUAAUUACUGUCGAGUUGAGCUAUAGUUGGUAUACUAUUAGGAGCAAUCUUGUACAAUGGGUGCAUCAAAAAGCUUAAGCUAUGCUUAGCUGAUGCUUGUUAUUUAGGUGACUGUUUUGGCAACAAUUGGCCUCAAUUAAUAUCAUGUAGUGAUAGUGCCCCAUCCCAAAUAUACAUGUUAGCUAAUACUAGAAAUUGCUAUUUGUAAUAGAAACUCUGUGCUGAUAUAUGGGAAUGAGCCAGUGCUAUAUAUCUCAGUUGUCUAGAAAAACCAGAACAUUUAUUAUUGUGGUAUUGAGAACUUGGUGCUGACUUGCUUCCAGUUUGUGUGAUCAUAUAUCGUUCUUGUCCUUGUCCUUGUCCUGUCAGCUAGUGAGUUGAAAAUUUUCACAUUCGUACUGUGCCAACUCCAUAAAAAUUUUCUAUCAAGAUAUUUUCUUGGUUCAUAAGAUUUCAGUGGUAUGAUUGUUGCCGCUACUCAUAUUGGCAAUUAUAGCUUUGGUCGUGGGAGUCACAGAUUAUAUUCAUUUUCACGGGACAAUUUCUGUGUAGAAUUUGGAAUUGAUUAAUGUUUUGAUGUUUUGUGGACCAGCAUGUUUUUCUUCUUUUUAAAUUGUAUUGCCACCCAUCUAUUACGAGAGUUAUUUAUAACUGAUGUGUCCUUCAUUUCUGCAGACUAAAGAAGGAAUUCUAAUAAAUAAUCAGGCAGCAAAGGAAGAGAUGCAAGACUUGAAUAUGUUCAGAAACGAGGUCACAGAGAAGCAUCAGGUAGAGACAGAAGAGCAGACAUCAUGCGUUCCUGAAGCUACUAACAUAUCCACAGGUACAACUGUGCCUCGUGUAAAUUUUGGUGGAAAAACACUUCCAAAAUCCAGGAGCAAUCUUUCCAAUGACAAGAAGAAGACGGGGAGGAGAAAAUCUGGCAGAGGUGGCCGGAACCGUAAAUCCUGAGCUUAGCUGGAUAAGUGAUUUAGAUGUCUCGAGUACAUAAAAGACUGAAACUUCUUCAAAAGUUGUUGGAAGUAACACUUUUGCAAGAUGAUAAUUGUAAAUGCUGAUGCAUUUUCUGAUGUGUAUCUUCCCGCUGCCCAUCUGCUGCUUACAUAUUUGUACAUGCUCCAUAUUCAUUAGGUCUCUUAUCUAUGCUGUAGAGCAUUGGAUGCUUUGUUUAGAGAUGUGCUAUUAUUUUAAUACAAUUAUAAUUUUGUUUGUGGAAAUAUUUUUUAGAUUAGUGAGAAUUUGCAGAAUGUGUACACUGGAGAAGCACAGUUGUUAGGUCCCUCCUUGAAGCUAACAGCUCGAUCCGAGCCAGGAAUUGAAUUGGAUAGUGAAAACUGCUAGAUUCAUAUGAUAUCAUGGAUUUCUUUCUUACAUUGACCAUAUGCGUUUCGUCUCUCUCCUUUCUCCUUUGUGUAGCAUAAUGACUCGUCUCUUUUACUGUUCAAAUCUGCAAAAUGGGGAUGUUUUUUGAGUCUCAUGGGAGAAGUUAUGUGAUUGUAUAUUUGUCACAGGACUUAAUAUUUUCCCUUAUCUCUUCAAUUUGACACUACAGGAAUGCUUGUUAAUAUUUCAAUGUUUGACUGUUUUAGGUUUUCCUUCAACGCAUUCCACAAGUUUUUGUGAUAAUAACACUGUACAAGCAAUUCUUAGAUAAAGAUUCGCUUAUUAGUCUGAUGGAUUGGAUUGAUAUGUUUGAUACUGCAAAAAGAAAAAGUCAAAUAAAUCAAAUAUACAAAUUAAGAAGUUUUUAUAACAUUCGCCAAACACAAGUAGCAAUGAUGUCCUGUGUCCGUAUCAGAAUGCAGAUGCAAUCCCAGAUUCCUGAAGAGGUUGAGCAAGAAGUCUGUUCAGGAGCGCAAACACUCCUAGGAAAUGCGAAAAUAGUGAAAUAUGUUUGCUGUGAGAGAUCUAUCGAUCCAGUCAAAAGAAGUAAACUUUCCAUCUUAUGUUAAGGACUUCUUUUCAUUUUUCCCAUUUUUAGCAUCUAAAAUUAACCAUUUCCAACCCUUCAAUUGAGGUGGAGAAUCUUUAUACCAACCGAUAAAAGAUCAAGUACAGGAACAAGGUGGAUUAGCGGUCAGUCGCCAAGCCAGUUCAAGAAAGCCAAGUAAAAAAAAAAAUAUUUCCAGGUCUAUCUCAGCUCGUUCAUCAUCAUCCAUGAUCGAUUUCAAGAGCAAACCAUCUUCAGAACACCGUCUUCAUUUCUGGUGUUUCUGUUCAUGCCUCGUAGACUUGGUCUUUAACACUAAUUUCUCUCUGUAGGGUACGGUUGAAGAAAUGCUUCAUCUUUUUGCGGAUUUCGAAUCUGAACUUACUCAUCUACUCUAGAAAUUCAAGCUGCAUUGCAAAAUGUGACUGAUGCCCUUUAAACUGGACCAUUUUCCAAGAUCCUGAACAGAACAAGAAACUCAAGAGAGCCUUGCACCUCGUUUCCACUUACAGGUCUGAAGACGGUUUAGCCACUGGUCAAAUGGCUGCUAUUUCUAACUUUAGGCAGGAGAUUGAUAAACUUGUAGCAAAGUUCAGAAAUUGCAAUGAGGAAACAGUCUGAGAAAGACUUUCAGGAAACAUAUCUCUUGCUUAAGGAGCUGAAAGUAUGUUAGACCAAAUUAGUGGAUUUUAACCUCACAUACUUCUUAAUUUAGAACCUGUAUGAUAAGUAAAUAAGUUUUGUGGAACUAAAUCGAUGGUGUUCGGUCAUGGUAUCCAUAGCGUUGCUUCUUUUUCGGCGCAGACCCGACGCGACUGACAGAUAAGCCGACGUUAAUAGCAGGUCUAAUUCCCCCCCUUUUUUCGUCUAAGUAAGGUGAAUUGGCUUCCUGCUUGACCCGAACCGAAGCAAGUCCUUCUUUCAUUUCUUCGGUGAUUGGCUCUCGUAGCGCUUAGUGUAGUAAGGGCCACUGGCUGUUCUUUCUACGUAAACUUGCUUUUUGGCUUCUUUCAUCAAAGAUAGGUAUGAGCUAAAGGCUUUUUUUUCUCACUAAACCCAUUUCUGAUCUUCUAUUGAAACUUUAUAUUUUCAUUUUCAUUUUCUUUUUAGGAAUUCAAUUCAUGUAUGUUAACUAAAUAAAAUUCUGCCAUUAAUGAAUUCUGUAUUUCAAAUGUCAAAUUCACAUCAUAACAAAAAAAAAAAAGAAAAGAAAAAGGGGACACAGAAAAUAGAAUGGAAAAUAAGAUGAGAUUUCAUUUCCACUCCCUCUUUAUUUUAAUUAUUAACCUUCUAAUUUUUGUUUCAAAAGGAAUCCAAGGCAAGGCAGCAAGCUUAAAGGACUUUAGCUCCAAUGUGAAGCUAACAAGUUGUUCCAAGGUAGGAAUAUCCUUUCAUUUCGAAAAUUGUUAGAUUGAAUAUAAAUCAAGGAUUCCUUUCUUUCAUCUAAGAAAAAACAAAAUCCACUCUCUAUUUCUUUGCAUAUUUCUCCAAUUUUACCCUUCCAUUAUAUAUGUAACCAUUUUGCGAUUCAAUCUACUUGAAUUUUUCAAAUUUACAAAAUGGGGAUGUCCAUGAGUUUCAUGGGAAAAGGUUUUGUGAUCUUCUUGCAAAUUUUUCAUUUUCACAUAGUAAUCUUUUUUGUUUUCCCUUGCAUAUUAAUGGUUUUCUUAAUUCUUGCAUUUGAUUAAAAUUAUUACAUAACAAAUACAAUAAAGAAUUUUUUUUUUUUUUUUUUUUUUUUUUGUAGGGUUGCCUUCAAACCAGAUGGUAGGUUUUGUUAUGGGGACUCUCUACAAGCAAUUUGUGGACCAAGAUAUUAAGAACGUUGAGGAAUUCCACAUGGCUAUUCUUGAUAUCUUCAAGUAAGAUUAUAAAGAAAUUAUUAUUAUUAUUAUUAUUCUUGAUAUCUUCAAAUGAGAGGGUCGGAAUCAAGCCUGGACCUAUAUCAUCACCGUUAAGGUUCCUUACCACCAAAAUCAACAUGAGUUACAAAAAUUAUCUUUUUUUAGGUUGUGAUUAGACCUAAUAAAUAUACAUUAAUUUUUUCAUUCUUGAAAUUUUAUUGCUGUUUAAUUGUUUACAGCGCAUUCAACUCAGCAUUGCCUGGUAAACAUUAUGAUGCACCCUCAAGAAAAGAGAUAGAGGCCAGUGACAUUAACCUUACAAUAUUCUAAUUAAUUAAAUCCCAUUAUCUCAAAUAAAUUUAUAUAAUUAUGUACAAAAAAAUGUUCAAUAUUGCAGGCAUGUUUUAGUUUUUGGAAACAUGCUUCAGAUGCACAAAGAAAAGAACUCUUCAUUGAAUUGAUGAAGAAGAGCGUAAAACUUAGCAAGAUAGAUGACUCCGCCUUGGUCACCGGAGUAGUAACACCACCGGCAGCAAUGGCUGCCAAGAAAGCGGCGGAGAAUUUGCCUCAGUUAAAGAUAUUAAAGGCUGUGCCAGAUGUUGUCUUUGUGCCUGCAGCAACAGUAUUAGCUCUUAUCUCUGCUAAGCUUACAAAAAGGACGUUCUUUGGAAGUUCAGCGUCUCCUUAAUUCUAAAAUAAAUUGUAGUAUGAAUUAUCUUGUAAUAACUAAAUAAAAUAUUAAAAUUUCAAGCUCUUUAUAAUUGCAUUUAAUGUUUUUAAUUUUAUCAAUUAAACGUAUAAUUUUUUUUAUCAUUAAUUUUGCCUCAUUCAUUUUACACAUUGAAAGAUCGAUUUUUGAAGAGAACACAAGAAGAUAUGAGAUAGUACACACCCAUUAUAAAAAUAGACUUUUUUUUUUUUUUUGGUAACGAUUGGAGAGCAAAACUCUAAGUAAACAUUGAAAGUCCAGUAUAAAAAACCUCUUGAAGAAGCCAUUCUGCCAUCCCAGGAGGCGGUUCAUGAGAAGUUGACUCCCUGAUGGAUAAUUUCUUGCGCAUCUAGAAAAGUAAUCCGCGCAAUUGUUCAUUUCUCUGUAAAUAUGUUUGAUCACACAACUUUGAAAUUGUGGGAUCAACUGCUGAAUAGCAAGCACCAGUUUCUGAAUUGCUCUUGAAGAAGAACCAUUGCUUGAAAUGAGUUGGACAGCAGCCAAAUUAUCACAUUCAACUUGGAUAUUUUUCAUCCCUAAACUCUUGGCCAGCUGCAAACCUUCCAGAACUGCCAACAACUGAGCAUUGAAAACCGUACAAGAACCUAUGUUAGAAACAAAGCCUCUGAACCACCUCCCAGCAAUAUCUCGAAUUAAACCUCCACCACAUGCUGAUUGUCCAGUAACAGAAGUGUUAGUAUUGAGAUUGACGCAGUUGCUAGGGGGAGGAGACUAUGUGAGUGAAAUUAAUUCUUUAUUGCACGAAGGAAUCUCGACUUUUUCACGUACAAACUAGUUUCGAAAAUAUUCUUAGCCAAGCAGAACGCCUCCAUUUUCAACCUCUGUAUCGUCACAUGUUCUUCACGAAAGUACCAUCUAUUGCGUGGAUCCCAGAUUUUCCAGCAGCACACUCCGAAAAUAAUAGGUCAAGGGACACUAGAAUGAUGCGUACAGUUGCCGGAAAGAUUAUACAAGAGCCAAUUUUAAUGCAAUAUGUUAACUCAUAUUUCUCACACACGCAUAAACUCCACGUGUGAUUUGGGAUAUGGAAUACCCAACGUUUCUUAAAAUCGAAUUAAAUUAAAUAAAUAAUUAAAUAAAUAAUAUACAUUACCAAAUAUAUCUUAAUUCUACAGCUGAUACAUAAAUACAUUACAGCUUUAAUUUUAUGGCAUUUUAAAUUUUGAUGAGGACCAUUUAUGCUCUUAUUUCUUAUAAAUUUUUGCAAAUCACAUACUUUUCCAUAUCAUCGACAAUUAUCUAUAGGGAUAUUAUUUGAAAUAUUAAUUUGAUUUAUGAUUAGGAUAACUUUAGAAAUAAUGAUUUUUACAUCUUUUAAUUAUAUUUAAUAGAUGUCCGAUCAAUUUAAAUUUAAGUGUUAGUACAUUCAAUAGAAUGAUUUGCAAAUUUUUUAAUCUUGUUGAAGUUUUUAAUAAAUCAAAAUAAAGCUAAAGGUUCCUUUAGACACUUAAAAAAAAAAAAAAAAAAAAAAGUUAAAGCGUCAAUUUAUGCGUUUGGCCUAAUUCUGCAGGUUACUGUUUUUUUACUUUAUUUUAUUAUUAUUAUUAUUAUUUUUUUUUUUUUUUUUUUUUUUUUUUGAAAUGAGAUUUGUGCUUAAAAGGUGCAUAUUUUUUUCAUAUGGUUCAUUAUGAUUAAGUAGAAUAUGCAGGUAUGGUAGUGGCUAAAAGGUAGGUUUUGCGAUUUCAUUUUGCCUCCAUCUCUAUUUCACGUGAAACCAACAAUCUGUGCUAUGUACAGAUUUUCUUUUCUUUUCUUUGCUUUACUCUAUGUCAAGAAAUAUAAUAUAUAGUAUCAACUUUUUUUUUUUUUUUUUUUUAAAAAAUGAAGAUUUUUUAAGAAAUGAAGUAGCAUACAUACAAUUAGAAAUAGGUCAUUCCGCUAUGCAUAUGUCAAUAGUAUAUAUAAGAUAUGUCGGGUAAAAUUAACUGUUUUGUUAGCUGUUAGUUUUUUAAAUAAUGUUGUUUAAAUAAUUUUUCAUAAAACGUUAUAUAAAUUAACUUUUCAUAAAACACUAUCUUAACUUCUAAAAUCUAGUUCAAAGGCUAUAGUACCGAACACUAUAAAAAAUAUUAUUCAAAAUGCUAAAAACUACUUAAAAAGCGGUUGCCCGAACACAGUCAUAGUCUCUUUUAUUAAAUAUUAUUAGUAGCUAUUUUAAUUAGAAAAUACAAGGAAUAAAGAAAAACUCAACUUUAUAUAAACUGAUUAUCAAAACAAAAGAUAGAAUAAAAUGGCAGAUUGAUAUUUACAUAUAUGUUCAACUCAAUUAGUUCCUUAAUUAUGAAUUAAUUGGUAAAUUUUCUUCUUUUCUUUUUUUUUUCAUUUCAUAUUUAUAUGUGUGUUGUAGAUUUAAAUCUUCAAAAAAGAUUUAAAAUUUACAGUUAAACAAUUUUUUGCUAAUUUAAUUCAUUCCCAUGUUCUUUUUUCAUACAAGUUUGAUAUCCUCAACUUUUCCAUGCAUCUCCAAACAAUUCUUACACAAUUUUACUAAACAUGAUAACAAAUACUCUUCAAAUGGAGAGGAAGUCUUUAUCUGCGUAUAAUCAAGAACUAGAAAAGGUAAAACUGAAAUUUAAUAUUAAAAUUCAAAAAGUAGUAACAUAAUUUAGGAGUAGAACAAAAAAUUCAUUUAUUCCAAAAGCAAACGAGAAUUUGUUCAUAUUCAUAAAUGUUUCAAGAAAUAUUAAUCAGUUCAAGGGCACUUGGAUUGACCCUUGGAGUUCUUCUUGUCUCUAUAGCAAGGGCAUUCUGAUUUGUUUCCAUAGGUUCCUGAAGGUACACAUUUGCACUCUUGGCAGCAGAUUCCACAAUACUUCAAGCACCUAUCCUUAUAUCCUGCAUUGCUACACCUUGUCCCACACUUCAAAUCACAAUCACCUAAUAUCACCAAAACAGAAAUAUAAGUACUUAUUUAUUAUUCCAAAAUGGAAAAACCCCAGAAAAAAAAAAUUGAUAUUUGCUUGGCUUAAUUUAAUAAUCUUACUUGGAGCAGCUGUGGUAGGUGGUGGUGCAGCCAUAUAUGGUGGAGCUGAAGCCAUGGCUGUUUGAAGUAAAGAGGAGCAAAGAGCCAGUGAAAGAAUCAGGAAUGAUGCAAGCAAGAGCUUCAUUUUAGUUAUUUUGAUUGAUAUUUUACACUUCAAGAAAUAGUACUAACUAAGGCGAUGAGAAUUAGCUUAGGAAGCUAUGGGCUUGAAAGAAUUCAGAGGAGUAUUUAUAGUGGUGGAUUGAAGGUGGAAGUCAUGUGGAAAUUUGAAGCAAAAGGGUAUUUUAUUAAUAAAAUUAAAAGGCCAAUGAACAAUUUCAUUACAGUCUGUAAUUUAAGGAGGCACUUAUUGGGGAGGGCAUUAUAGAUUUUUGUCUUGAUUAGCUUAUUAUAUUUCUACUCAGGUUUAUGCUAUACAUAGGGAAGUUUGCAAGUACCUUCCUGAGGAAGGAGAUAAUCCUUUUUUAAGGUUAAUUAAUUAGGUUUUGACUAACACUUGUGAAGUUCUGAUGAUUUAUAAAAUUUUAGUACCAACAAUUUGAAAGGGUACAAGCUGUACUGGCUUCUCCGAUGUAGCCCAUUUGCAUAUGUUUAUUGAUCUUUUUUUGCUCUUCCUUUCUGGCUCGCCAGAAUCUCUAUGUAACUUGAAAAAUAAUUUCCAACUUCAAGUUAAAAGGGAACAAAGAAAUGAAAACUGAUAUAGACAGGGAUAGAGAAUCUCAAUUAGUUUGGCGCACAAUUCCAGGCUGUGGCUUCCCCCAACUUGCACUUAUUUAAAUUAUUUCCUUUUUAUAUGUGUGGGAACUAGAGGAGGAAGAGAAUAGACAGGCCCCCGAAGGUUCCAGGAAAUUGGACUCAACCUCCUGAGAUUCCUCUUUAAAUAUUUUGAUGUUCAAAAAAAAAAAAAAAAAAAAAAAAAAAAAAAAAAAAAAAAAAAAAAAAAAUUUUUUUUUUUUUCCCCCGCCGCACAAAGAAAAUAUUUUGUUGCGAAUGAACAAGAUAUUGAGGAAUUGUCCAUAAUUUUACUGUCACCUGAGGAAAAUAAACUUAGAAGCUUAUGAAAAUAAAUUAUAUAGCUACAAGGCAACAAAAUCUAGAAUUCAAUGGCUAAAUGCACAAGAAGUUUCAUUAAUAACAAUGUGAAUUCUUACAGCAGAAUUUUUUAUAUUCAAGCAUGGAACAAUUUAAAUACAUCGGAUUAGUGAUACUGAAGAUGCAAACCUAUAUACGUUUAAACUGCUGAGAGUUGUGGCCGUGAUAAAACAAUAAGGAAGCACGUCUUUGCGAACAGAAAGAACUCAGGCUUUGACAUGUACUAUAAAUUCUUCCCAAUAACUUGCAAAACAAAACAACAUUAAAAUGUCAAUCCACAUAGACACAUGUAUGCCUAUCUAUAUAUGUAAUAUGAUGAAAAAUAAACAAAAAGAUACCAAUGUCAACCUCCCAAACUAGAGGAAGCACGGAUAUGUUGACCAUAAGAAUGUUCUUUGGCAGAGCGACUGGAAGUGAGUAAAUUGACCUGCAGAAGGCCCUCAACAAUUAGAGUUGACAGAAUGACACAAAGGUAGGUAGCAAAGAAAAAUUGGUCAAGAAAGUUACCUUCACGAUGUCACAUUUGGCGCUUGGUCGCCUGGAGGCAGCUAGGACACUCAUGUGAAAUAGCUGUUUUCAAGAACACAAUGAUAAACAAAGCAAUACACGUGAAAAUUUUAUCUAACAAUUAACUUCUACUGUUGUUUGCGGUACUUGCAAUGGAAACUAGUACAAAACUUAAAGAAAGGAUGAACUGGACAUGAAAGCAAAGCAAUGUGAUUUCUGACUCACAGCAGUUAUUAGUUAAUAAAGAAAAGUUAUAUUUUCUUGGUUUGUUGCAUAGGAAAUUACCCUAUAAGGAUCGCUUCUUAAGGACUGCACAAACAGAGAAUUCCCCGAGUCACUAUCCUGCAAUGGAAUAAACACCAGAACUCUUAAACAUGACAAGUCAUAAACAGCAGAAGUGGAUGCAAAUAAAUGCUCCAAAAGGAUAAAACUGAAAUUAAUCAAUAGUCAUGCCUCCAAAUAAACAUCCUUGAGUCGCCUUCCAGUUUGAGCACAGCAGACGCGGACAACAUUUUCAUCACAGCUACCACUUAUGAUGUAAUCCCUCCCAUUCAUGUAAUAGGAGCGAGUAUAAUUAUGAGAACUUCCAGUUGCAGCUAUCUCAAAGUUCAUGUGAACCCUACCAUCUACUGCCAGAAGUUGUUUGACCUGACACAAGUUAAAAGUGGGAUAUUAUCUUGAACUCAGUGAAAGAAGCCAACAAGUUUGUUAUUACUAUGUUAAGGUGGCAUGCUUACAUCCUAAGAGGUAAACAAGGAAUUCUGCUUGAUGAUUAGUAGGGAACAUCUACAGUUAGAUGCGUUAAUGACAUUGGACUAGUGAAAUUAUGCUCAUCUUAUCAAACCCCUUUAUAAGAUUAGGGAGUCUACAUCCACACAAUGAUUUAGAAUUUUUCUUUAUCUAGUACGUUUUAUCCUUGCCCAACUGAAUAUAUACAUACAUAAUGGAUAUGAAAAUACCUCAUUGUCAACAGCUGAAACAAGCAGAUAUUUGUCAUCAGGAGAAAAGCAAACCAUCACAUUCCCUCUUGAACUUGAGGCUGUAUAACAAGGCCUCUCUGGUUUUUGUCUCAAAUCCCAAAGCUUGACAUCAUGGUCAAAUGACGAAGUAGCAAAUAGGAAGGGAGAACAGUGUGCAAAUUUAGCAACAUUAAUGGGUUCUCGAUGCAUAUUAGUAAACAACUGUAUGCGUCUUCUACUACUAAUGUCAUAUAGGGCAACAUCCUUUGAGUACCCACUGGCAAGAAACUGAUCGUCUGUGGAAUUGACAUGAACAGAAGUCAAUGGCUCAAAAUCAUCAAAACUGACCACUCCUGUCAUGCAAUUUAUAUCUGCAACUUUUGGUGGCAUAUGAUUGAUGUCAAACAGCUUCAAGGAACCAUUAUCAGAACCAGCUAGCAACUGUUCAAUGCAUACAAAAAGCCUUCAGCAAAAAUUGAACUUCUAAGAAUCAAAAUGAAGCAAUAAAUUAGAUGUCCUUCCCAUUAUAUAGCAUUUAUGAAUUACUUCCAAAGACAAGUUCUAGCAACAAAUUAUCUAUCCUAUUGAUACAAUUCUAGUAUCUUUUAGGUGUAAGCAUGCAACUGGCUGAUUUCCCUCAUCCAAAGAACAAAUGUAAAAUAUUUCAAGGUUUAAAUUGCUGCGGAAAGUAUACAAGAUACUGCUGUUGGAAAUAUCACCUUGGAAUUCAGGUGUGAUCUUGACCUACAAAGUCAUCGAGUAAAAUAAACCAAAUCCAAAGACAACCGCAAUUUAUUGUUGAACCAUAUUGAACUUACGAUACCAAACACAAGUGCCUUAGAAACAGAUAAAAGAAAAGGGUCGAAAGUGCAAGACAAAAGUAUUACAAGCCUAAAAUGCUUUAUGGAAAUGGCAUACCUUUGAUGGAUACAUUUUGAGCCAACAAAGACCCAGAAUACUGUUCAUUGCUCCACUGGAAGGAACAUAACCAACAGUCUUCCCAUUUUCAUGAUUAGUGACAACUACUUCACCAUCUAGAGUUCCAAAAACCAUAAGACUAGGAUCAGAUGGAUGAUAUUCGAAUUGUCUAGGGCGAAGACGCUUACUUCCUUCUUUAUGCAGAUGGCUCAAGCUAGACAAAGGGUGCAAGAGGGGCCAUGCAACAGAACCCAGCUUGGCAGCACUAAGAGAUCGUGGAAAGAAAAUUUGACUCUUUCCAUGAGGAUAUUGCUUCUUUGUCUUCUGGAAAUUUGGGCAGGCACCACUUGCUCUCAUUUCACGUUUCUGCAGGAUACUGACAAUGCUUUCUUUGUAUUGUCGGUUAUAGGCUAAGUACUCAUAGAAUUUUGAAGAGAUGAUCUUCGCCAUUUUCUUGUCCAGCUUUCCAACGGGCAAAUUAUCUAAAACCUCCAAAUGAGGCAAUGAAGCAAUUAUAUACUCCCUAUAAUGUUUCUCAAAGCAGAUAGGCGAUGGGUGGUGUGAACUGUAAAUGUUGUUUAACUUAGUACAGUUUUUCUUCAAAUCCCACAUGCAUCCACUUGCAAACAACUCAUUUUUGUCUUCAAUCUAUCAUUCGCCAAAAGAAACCUGUUAGACAAACUAAAAAAAUCCAUCACCAAACAUCUAUAUUUCAAACUUUCCCCCUUCUAAGCAUUUAAUAUGCUUACCUCAUUUUGCAACUUGACUUUUCCAUUCAAAUUAGGAAGCAUGCUGGAUGAUAGUUCCAGCAAAUCUAUUCUUUGCAGGCAGCUUGAAAUUUUAUCUUCAGUAGUGACUGAAAAGUUAUCAGUUCCUCCAUUAACCUCAUUACAUGUAAAUGCAUUUUUGGGAGAAAGCAAGUCACAACAUGACAUUGCAUGAGGAGUGUAAAUAGUUGUGUCAGCAGCAUUGACAGGCAGCAGUUCAAUGGAUGAACCUCUAUCCAACUGAUGCAGGACAUUUGCUUUGUUACCAAAUGAUGCAGGACAUGGCCCAGUGUCCUUGCAACACAAGCAAUUUUGGAAUCGUAGUUCUAGCAAAGAAGGAAGUUUCAAUAAGGCAGCAGUGGUUGUCCAGAGAUCAAUCACUCUUGUCUCACACAUUGAGAGACGCAUCAGAUUGGGCAUGGAAGAAAAACAGUCCCUAUGCAAACUAGCGAUUGAAGUGCAAAAAUCCAGAUUUAAGGUGUGCAAUCGCAUAAAACUUCCAACCAUGUUGAGCUUUUGGAUGUGAGUGGACCUCAAGCUUAAAAUUUCACAAGAUAAGCCAUGGUGACUUAGAUCCCUGGAAAGGUCCCACAAACAACGAUGUUAAAAUAUGAUUUAGAUAGAGAAUACUCCACCUUUCUUUUCAUCCUUUUCAAGCAUAGUUAAUUGGUCACUAGACUCACUGCAUGAUAUAAUGUUUCCUUAGCAAAAGAGGAUGCUAUAUGCUUUUCAUAGAAAGACAAAAUUAACUGUCAUGAACCCAGAAAGACACAGGACACAAAUGUUGGGGCUCUGUAAACUGCUGAAGCAGGGUCUUGGGAUCCUAGAUAAGGCCCUCACUUGAGCAUUCAAAUCUUCAUAAUUGUUAACCAAUACAGAAAGUGCCCACUAGCCGUCCUAAUGGUCUUUCCAUCCAGAUUCUAAAAAUAUGACGGCAGUGGUCCUUUUCAAGUUAUUUUAAGUGAUAAUCUCAUCUCUUAAAACUCAUAAAGUGAUUAGAACUUCUAGCAUCACCAUCAUUUUUCUCUCUCUUCAUAUUCUUUUUUCUUUUUUCUCUUUCUUAAGGAAUUCAAGGUUGGGAAAUUGGAAACGGCAGAAAUCUAUCAGGUAAAGGAAAAUAAAAUAUAGAAGAUAAUGCAUUAUGACUAUGGUAAAUGACAAAGACAAUAAGGACAAGCAAUAAAACAGAAUGGUGAUACCAACCAUAAAAAGUCCUCUUCCAAUGACAUUUCCUGAAGAUCAACAACCCGGAGUUUUAGAUGAAUUGCUCGCAACAAGGAAAGAACAUAUUCUUCCUUCAAAUUGCAAUGCGAUUCAUUGACUAUGUCAACUGCAUCAAUGUCAGAAGAGUCUACUGCUAGGAACAUAUCAAUCAGAGGAGGAAUAUCAUCAUUCUUGAGCUGAUUUAGCAAAACCUCAAAGGUACACUUCUUCUGGAAGAACUUCUGUAUUGUGGCCUAAAUAAAAGAAGAAAAGUUAUGCUUGCCACAAAAUAGUUUCUUCAAUGCAAAAACUGUACAAGUUUGUUACUGGAUCAAUCUACCAGCCAGUGAAGCAAAGAUGAUUAAUAAUCAUAGAGAAGAAAGCUAAGUUUCAUUAUGCUAUCAAGUUAGGACCAUAAGUAUUAUUUCAGAGAAAGAAAUGCACCUCCCAAGGCCAAAAAAACAAAAAAAGAAGAAGAAAAAAAAAAAAGACAGCUUGCUGCUUUAGGAGGUGGGAUAAAACUAACUUCAGAAAAAUCCAGUCCAAGCAGCACACAGUGCAACAUAUGGCUCUUUUCUGAAAGAUGGUUUAAGAAUCCCCUCAAUGCAAGCAAAAUGAUUCUAUACUAACAACCAACUUUUAUCCAAAAAAUAUGAUAUUAAUUGAUAAAAACAACAACAAGUGGACAGCCUUAGUCAGUAACAUCAGAUUCCACAAUCUAAAGCAGUCUGAAGGGAUAAAGGCAGAUGAAGGGGGGAGGUGCGUGUGCAAUAUCCUAACAAAGGAAACACUGUUCCCUAUUAAACAUGAGGGGCGGCGCAAACAUUCAUGAAGAAAGUUUAGUUUAAUAGACCUUAGAGAAGCAUGACAGUACGGCAGAAUUGGGUGGCACCUCAUGCCUCCUGCAAGAAUCAAGAUACCUAGCACAAAAAGAGAACGCAAUCUGAGAAUCAAUAAGAAUCUAAAAGUACAAGGAUUCAGAGAGCAAAAGCCACUAUCAACACCAGCAUCAAGAAAUCAAGCUUUUGAAAAUACUUGCAACUAUCAACCAAUGGAACGAGUCCAAACAUGAAAUGUUCUACAAAACAAAAGUAUUUGAAGCCAGAAUACUAAUAAUUCCACAAAUUUACUUUGCCAAAUAUCAAUAAAGGCAACAACAAGACUCAUAUUCUCAUAGAAACUAUAAAAUUUUCUAAAAAAAACUUAAUUGGCCAGUAAAAAGUUCCCAGAAAAUUUUAAUUAUGAUUCUUUUUUCUUUUUUUGGGUAUGUGAAAUUGUACAUUAGUUCAAUCAUUACUAAUCAAUCAAUCCAACUAGCUGACAGUAAUAUUUAGUUUAGUUAAUGUCGCUUUGAAUUUUGAAGAUUCUUCCCGCUACUGAUCAGAGAAAAGGAAUAGAUCAAAGGGAAGGUUAGCUUUGUGAACUAAUUUAUGCAAAGAUACUAGCUUUGAAUCUGAAAUAGAAAAAAAAAUCAUGUUUUGCUUUGUGGGUGUCCACAGAGGAUCUCUCUCUUUUGCUAAUUUCAGUCAUUUAUGUAAAAAAGCUGUAACAAUUGCCAACACUUUCUCUAAGCACUUGCCACCUGCUACUAAUUUUCCUUUGCCUCUUUUGGCUAAUUCCAUUCGUAACUCCCAUCAUUGGUUAACCUCCCAAAAUACCACGUCUAAAUUUCUCUUGAAAGCUGUACCAAACCCACCAAUCCUUUAACUCUUAAAUCCAUGAUUCAGUAGGAAAAAAAAAACAAAACACAGACAAGAAACCAGAAAACCCAGAAGAGAAAAAAAUUAAAGAAAGAAAAAGAUUUAAUUAGAGAUCAAUAUCAUACCGAGCUUCUAAGGUGGAGAUAUCCAUGCAAAUGAUUGGUGACUGUAGCUUUGCUUCUUCUAGUUCUUCACAUUAAUGGCGAAAAAAAUGAAGUCAAUGGAUCUAAGACACGGGAAAUAUUGCUAACAGUGUCAAAAACACAUGUCGAAUGGAUAAGCACACCUGUUCUUAAUUCUAAAUUCUAACAUUACUCAGUGCAGGAAGAGAAAGUGAAAUUUCAACCAAAUAAUAUUCGACAAGAUUACCUUUAGAAGUUAGGACCAUCAUCAAAUGGCCAUUAUGUAUUUGAGUCACGCAAUUAUAAUACAAAUAGUUUUUACAAGUUUAAUUUAUAAUUAUAUUUGUCGUUAUUUAUUUAUUGAAUGAUAAUCUAUUAUUCAAUUUGCUAAAAAAAUGUAUCGUUAGUCAUUGCUAAUUAAUGAUUAACUAUUAUUGGAUUUUGAAAAGCUAUUCUAAUGCUUAAAUUAUUAAAUUCUCCAAUCAAUUCGCAGUUUAAAAAGAUAUUUAAUAUUUUUUAUUUUUAUUAAUGAAAUAUAUCUAUAUACAUUGAAUUAUGUGCGAUGUAAUUAAUCUCUUACAUCCUAUAAAUAUAAUAAAUAUAGAAAGUGUAAGAUAUUUGGUUAGAUUUCUUUUAUUUGGUAAUCUCCUAAAAAAAAAAUCUAUAUAUAUAUAUAUAUAUAUUUUUUUUUUUUAUGGAGGUAAAAUUUAAAAAAAAAUGUGUAAAAUAACUCAACUACCUUUUGUUAUCAUAUGGAAAAAAAUAAUUAAAAUUAAUUUUUUUUAAACUUUGGUAAGGGAACGGAACUGUAAACAUUCUUAAUUAUAUCAAGUGAACACCACCAAGUUAACACAUAAAUAUUAUAAUCUUCAAUCAUUGUAUAAUUUUGUAUAUUAGAAAAUGAAUUAAGUUAAAUUAUUUUAGUGGAUCCUGUGGCUUUUAUUUUUGUCACGAUUUGUCAAAUCAAUGCCCAACUACUAACUAAGAUGUUGACAACAUUGUUAAUAUAAAAAGAUCAUUAAUCAUGUUAGAAAAUGAAAAUAAGCUUGUUAGAAAUAUGUCAAAUAAAAUACUUAUUUCUCAUUUUUUUUGUAUGAAAAAAUAGAGAAGAAAAUAAAUAAAAUUAAUUUCUGAGUAAUAUUUGAAGUUCACCAUCAAAUAAAAUUAGUUGUUUGAUUUGAAUUUGUUCUAAUGAGUUAAUAUUUCCCAACUAAUUAUCAAAUUUCUUUAUCUAUCCCUAGAAGGUGUAGAAUAUGGAAGGAUAAUUAAUUGAAGGUUUUGAUUGGGCCUAAAAAUGAAUGUUAGUAUCUUAGAGAAAAAAAGAAAAAGAAAAAAAAAAGCUCAGUGGUAGAAUAACGGUGGUUGACAACCACAUUUUGCACUGAUCAUCAUCGUCAUCAUCAUCAUUAUGUAAUAAAUGAGAAUAGUGGAUGUUGACAUGACAUUGUGUUUGAGAGUGAAACUCUCUAAAAUUUAAAUAUUUUGUUUUAACUUAGUUAAGAAAAUUUGAAGAUUUUAAAGAGAAAACGUGUCUCCCUUAACUCUUUCUCUCUCUACUUUAUAACUUUUAUGAAUUUUUAAAUAAUACUAACUCAUUUAAAAUUAAUCUCUAAUUUAUAUCUUUUAAAUAUAAUGGCUCUUGAAUAAUAACUCUUUUAAAAUUACUCUCUAAUUUAUUACUUUUAAAUAUAAUGGCUCUUGAAGUUCUCUUAUAAUUUUAAAUUUUCAAUUAGUUCAAUAUUAUUAGGUUAAGAAUGUUAGGAAUAAAAUUAUACAAAAUAAGUUUGAGAUAAAAUUUUAAUAUUGAGUUUGUUGUAUAUUAAUAUUAAUAUUGUUGGUGCAAAAAGGUAAUAAUUAUAUGGAUUUUGGAUCCGCAAAGUAAAAAUUAACCAAAAAUAAAUACUUGCAAUUAAUAUAUUUUUUGCAUGUGCUAAAUUAAUUUUGAGAUAAAAUUUUAGCAUUAAAUUUUUUCUAUAUUAAUAUUGCAAAUGAAAAUAGGUAUUAGCUAUAUGGAGUUUGGACGAGUAAAUGCAGAAAUUGUUCAAAAAUAAAUAUUUGCAACUAGUAUUAUUUUUGCAUGUGCUUUUAUCUAAUAAUGAUGAUAUAACCAUUUUGAUUUGAAUAAACUUUUUUACGUUCUUUAUUUUCGUUCACCUGCUAUCUUAAAAAUCAUGUUUCACCUUAAUUAGCGUAAACAAUUUUAAUUCUACACGAUAAUAUUUAAGUUUAAAUCAUGAAAUAUUAUAAAGCUCUGCGAAACAUAGAAAAUUGCAUAGUUAAAAAUUAAAGUAUAAAGUUAUAUUAGGAAGCCUCCUGUGUUUACUAAUAAUUAGAUAUGAGAAAUGAUGAAAAAGGCUAGGAGCUCUCCUAAUCUAUGUCAUAAUAACUCUCAUCUUUAAGAAUUUUGAUGUAUUUUAAAAAAUAAAUAAAUAAUAACAAUUAGACAAGGAUGAUUAGUUGAUCAUGAACACACGAGUAAUAUAUUAAUUGAAUAAUGACAAUUUACAAUAAUUAUUAUAUAAUAGAAAUAAUUGAAAUAUUAAAAAUUGGUUCCGGUAAUUGAUCAAGUCGACUAAUUCAAUCACGGAUAGCCAGUUCAAUUAGAUUCUCUUUCUUAAAUGAUGCAAAAGCCAAAUGGAUCCAAUUUUAAAAUUAGUUCACCAAAUUUUCGAGUUAAUUUUUUUUUUUUUUUUUUAAGAGAAAAUUAUGCUUGCACCUUUUAGUUGCGUUGAAUUUAAAGUUUGGUUAAAUUGCAAUUAUACCAUAAUAUUUAAAGCUUCUUUAAGGAAAAACUGAAGGUUGGGAAGUUAAAAUGUAUAAGGUUGAAUUUCUCUCCACACCUUAAAUAAUAAAGUUGUACUAUAAUAUUAUACUCUCUUUAUCCAAAUUAUAAUAAACUCAAAAUAACUUACAAAAAAAUAUUUAAUUUAAUAUAAAUAAUAAUAUGAUUAAAAAAAUAUUUAUUAAUUUUUUAAAUAAUCAAUACGUCUUAUAUUUUAAAAUAAAAUAAUCGCAAUUUAUAUUUAGUAGGGCAAAAAAAGUGCUACCGUUGCCAAAGGAUAAGAUUGAAGCUAAUUAGGCAAAACAUUUACACGCUUUGGUCAAAAUCCUUAAGUACGCGGCUAGCCAAUAUGGAAGCACCCAAACUAUUAACCAGUCUUUCACGUGUGGUCGCGCAAGUCCGUGCGUGUGCGCGCAUGCGCAUGCUUGUGUGUGCGUGUGUCCAUGAUUAUAUUUAGCUUGGUUUGGUAGGAUGAAUAUUGCUACUUUAAAAAAAUAAAAAUAAAAAUAAAAAUUGAUUCAUAUAAUAAAAAAAUUGAGUCAUUUAAUUGAAUAAGAACAUAAAAAUCACACUCUCUCUUCCUUCGUGAUUUACAAGAUAUUUAUGAAAGAAACAAAAAUAAGAAUUUGGAGGAGAAAGCAAGUUGUAGAAAAAGACAGAGAUGCAAGAAAGAAAACUUGUGAAGCACGUGUGCCACCCAAAGGAAUAUCUUAUGGAAAUUGAAAAGGAUUGUACAUUGGCUAACGAAUAAUUAGGCAAUUAGCCUACUAUGAUGGCUUAAUUAAAUUAUUAAUUGACUCGGUAAACUGAUCAAUUAACAAGUAAUUAUAAAAUAGUGGAUCUCCAUUUUAUACUUUUUCUUCUCAUAUACAAUUUUAAAUUUCUACUCAUCAUUUUAAAUUUGGUAAACGGCAGUGGAGUCAAUAUAUAAUUAAUUUUGAAAUGAUAUUCAUAUAAUAAUCAAAUAAGUUCAAAUUAAGUAAAAAUCUAAUUAAUUAAUUAGUAACUUCAAACAUAUACUACUAACCAUUUUGUUUUAGAUUAGUUCAUGAGAAAUUUGUAUAUCUAUAUUGAACUUGAAAUAAAAAUAAAGUUCACUCUUUAUUUAGCAUAGUAUUUUACCCUUUUUGUAAAUUUUUAUUUUUUUUUUCCUUAUUUUUUAUAUUUUAAUUCAACCACUUAAGGUAUCUUUAAAGUUUUAAAAUUAAUAUUUUUUUAUAAUAAUUUAUAUUGAUAUCUAUAUUUUUAAAUCCAUAUAUCUAUGUGUAUUUAUAUCCACACAUAUUUUAUAUAUCAAUUCAUAUCUAAAUCUAUAUAUCUAUAUUAAAGCUGAAUAAAAAAAAAGUUAUAAAUUCGAUUAUCCUUUUUCUUAUAUUCUUUUCCUUUAAAAUUUUUUAAAUUAUUUCUUUAUUUUUCUAUAUUUGAUUGAGCUAGUUAACAAUAUUUUUAAAAUCUUUCUAUCUAUUCAAGCCAAGAUAAAGUAAAAGUUCAAAAUUUGAUUUUCGCUUCAUUUAGUAUUUUGCUUUUUUCUUUUCAAGAAAGUUUUUGACUUUUUAUUUUUAUGUAUUUAUUUUACCGUCUAGGAUAGUUUUUUAAAGUUUAAAAAUUGUGCGUGUGUAUGUGAGAGAGAUAUAUAUUAGGAUGCUUUGUUAAUAUUAUCAUGGUUUUAAUAAAUGAUAUGUCAUUUGUGUCACGUGUAUAGUAAGUACUCUCUUAAAAAAAAAAAAGUUAUUUAUAAUAAUUACGAAUGAAAAUCUAAUAUAUUAAUUAUAUAUCAUUAAAAAAAUACUGAAAGUUCAUAGCUAGUUCUAUUUGUUGGUUUUUAAUAUUUAAAAUUUCAAUUAUUAUAUUAUUUUGAGAUAUUUAUUUAUUUAUUUUUUUGAGUAUUGGGGGAGAGGGAUUUGAAUCCAAAUCUAUUGCUGGGUCGUAUAUGCACUUAUCACUAGAUUAGGAUAAUAAUUAUUUAAGUUUGAAAGUUACUAUUUAUUUAUAAUAAUAUUAGAAAAAUAAUCAUAUUAAUUAAGUCAAAAUUAAAAAAUGUCAAAACUGCCCUCCCUUUAAUUUUACAAUUUUACUUGCAUUCUACUCUAUAGAGUAAAGUAUUCAGUUUCUUGAUUUUGAGCUUAAAUGCACUAAUUACGCUGUAUUUAAUUAGCUCUGAAACUGAAAGUUUUGUUUGAAAUUCUUGUCCUUGAUUUUUGCCUCAGCUGAAACAGUAUAUCUGCUUGGAUUGAAAAUACAAAAGCCUUAUACCCAAUCAUAUUGGGCUUAGCCCAUACAUAUCUAUCCAACUCCAACAUUAACCCUUUCGAGAUCAUUAACAUGAUUGGAUUUGGCUCAAUAUCAUUAUUAUCGGUAGAGAUGUCAUUUUCAAAACAAAAGGGAAAAAGAUACUCGAGCUUCUCAAGUUAGUUUUAGGAUUAUACAUUUGUAAGUUCAAAACUAAUCUAAACUUAGUUAAUCAAAUUGAGGUUUUAAUUUAUUUUUUUGUCUUUCCAAAUUAAUCCUACCAUGCUCUAGUCCAGGAGCACAAGGGGGAAUAAUAAAUUCAAGCUUCCUCCUUUCAAUUUUAAAAGAUAUUCCAUAUUAUCAUAAUCUUUUUUUCGUUAAUUAUGAUUUUCAAACUAUUUUUGAUUUGAGAGAGAAGAGAAAGAACCCACUAUCCAAAAGAAAAACUAUAUAUUAGAGAUUAAAUUAGGAAAGUAAGAACUAUAUCGUAUCAGUUUAAAUGGGUAGAGUAAGGCCAUAAAUGAUUUAUAUAAUUAUCAAUGGCUUAAAAGGAAUGAUAAAAAUAGUUGUACUACUAAUAUAAGAAAAUUUUAUGAUUUUAUCAUUAUAUUUUGUCAUAAUAUAUAAAUUGCUUGCAUUUUUCAGAAAUGCAUACUUUUGUUUUUAUCUUCUCUAUUUCUGUCGAUUUUUUAUACUUUUUUUCGUCAAUAAAUACUACUAUGUUUUUCAUAUAUUUUGUUAAAAUUUACAAUUUAUCCAUUUAUGUAUCAAUUAUUGUCUACAUAUUUCGCUAAAAUUAAGUAGCAAAAUUAAGUAAUUAUCCCUAUAUUUAAUAGAAGGUAGAAAAAAUUAACAUAAGAUACAUCAGUGUGUAACGGAUGAGGUAAAAAAUAUGGAUAAAAUUAUAUAUCUCUAAAUAAAAAAUAAAAUUAUUCGAAUCCAAUCGAUUACAGAUGUUUUUAUCAAUUUAAUAAGCAAGAGGAAAACUACCCCUACCCUUAUUACAUAAUGCAAAUAUUAAACAUUGCUUACCAAUAAUAAUACAUAUUCUUUGUAUUGGAUGCAGAUAAAAGCUUUACCUCAACAAAGAAAAUCUUUAACACCAAAAUGGUAGGGCUCUGACCAAAUGCCAGAAUCAAGAUAAACAAUCAUGCCAUCAAAUCAACUUGCUUUUCUUUCUUUUCUUUUUUUCCAUAAUUACCUUGCCCUUCCUUUUCUCUAUCAAACUGUAAUUUUUAGAUGACAAACAACCAGAGAUAACUACUCUUUUUUGUUUCUCUCUUUUAAUCUUUUGUUAGUUUUUAACUGAAACAAUUAAAGAAUAAAGCCAAACAUAUGAAAAAGCAAACGCAAGAACAGGCUGUUAAGAAAAGAAAGAAAGGAAAGAACAAAAGAGAGGCUCCCAAUAGAAUAAUCCAAAAUAUAUAAAAUGACAGUGAAUAGAAAACUACAAAAAUACAGAGUUUUUCCCCCCACACAGCUCUCCCUCCCUGUCCCUCAAAGAAUACUGAAUACAAAGCAAAUGUGGUUAAUCCCCAGGCAGAAAAAACCAAACCACUGGCCAGUAAGAUAUAGCAAUAAUUUAACAAAACAAUGGUAAUCAAAUAAAAAUAUCAAAUGGUGAGUCCGUAAAUAAAGAAGAAGAGCAUGUGGGGGACAAAAGAUUAAAAUAAUUUAACACCAAUAGCAAUAAUGGACAUUAUAAAACAUAUCUCUCUGUUUUGAUCUCUAGAAGAUCAAAGUCAUUGCUGCCCAUCCCAAUGCCAAGCCUCCGAGCAUCUUCUGUACUGACCUUAUCGAUUCUGAUCCGCUCUGCAAUUUGGAUCAAAAUUCAUUUUCAUAAUCCAGAUGUUAAGAAGAAUAAAUAAACUUGCAUAAAUUUCUACUUUAAUAAUUAUUCACGAGAAUGUUGUUGCCUCUCCCCGUUGGGAAGUUAAUGAUCUGAAAUUCUGAUGUUGAAAUUUCAAUGUUCGGUUUAGAGAAACAAUAAAUACACAUUCAUUAGAAAACCAUUAGCUUGAGAAUUAUUCGAUUCAAGAUAGAUCCUCCUUACGGGAAGUGAAACCGCUUUGUGCCAUAGAUUUUUAUUACUAUUGCAUUAAAACCUUUCAUCAACAGUUAUAAUUUUAUUAAUUAAAAGGACUUGCCCACUGUACUAAUAAAAUUAAUCACCUCCACAUUAAUGUUCUGCAGAUCCACGGAUGACACAGUGCAAUUCACUGUCAUUUGUACUACAGUGAUGGGGCGUGAAUCUUACGCGCCACAGUGUCGCGUUCAUCUCACUAGAGACAAGCGCUUACCACCAGAAGCAGUACUUGAGAAGCGCCAAGCUUUGCUUCCACUAAGCAGUUAUAAGGCAGCACCGACAUUUAGCAUUUCAAUAAUGGAUUAACUUGAGGGGCAAUAAUCCGGUCAUUUUAGGAAAUUUAAGCAUUCUUCACUAAUUUAGGCUCGGUGACCACUAACGAUAUCUAGAUUUUUUUCUAGUGCUAAAGAGGGAAAACACAGACCAUGGAUCUUUGCAUUAAACUUCAGAUCUGGAGGUGCAUUGCACUCCAGCGCAUGUCAGAUGGUAAGCCAAUCGGAAAAACAACUAAAACGAGCACUGGAAAGUAGAAAGUACCUCAUCGGCCACAGAAGCGGGACCAGGAGAGCUGGCGUCAAGGCUCGGUCCAGGUGCCUCCGUCGGUGGAGCUGGUGGACUCGACAACUCCGGACCAGGAGCAGGUGAAGCAGCGUGCUUCUUCGACUUUUUCUUGGUUGGAGUCGGUGCAGGAACCUCGGCGGUUGGCGCAGCCACUGGAGCUGAAGGAGCAGUUUCCGGAGGAGAGCUUGUUGGUGGAGUAACUGGUGCUGGUGAUGGAGGAGAUUGGGCCGGAGAUUUUGCUGGAGUUUUUGCUGGAGGAGAGCUCACUGGAACUGCAACAGGUGGUGAACUAAUAGGAGCGGCGGCAAGUGGUGGUGUAGCUACCGGAGCCGCAGCCGGAGCUGGCACCUUCUGUUUGGUCGGAGAAGCUGCUGGUGUCUUCGCUGGUGGUGAAGACACUGGAACUGCAACAGGAGCAGGCGAUUUAGAUUUUGCUGGUGCUUUAGCAGGUGCAGUUACAGGCGCUGCAGGAGCCAACGGAGUAGCAGUCGGUGCUGCACCUGGAGCUUGGCCGCCGACGCCGGCGACAAUGAUGCACAUUAAUGCAACAGAAAAAACGCUUUUGCGAUCCAUCUUGGCAGAGGAGAGA